AUUUUUUUAACGAUAUAUAUGUCUAAAAUAUUAGAGAUCGGUCAGCUUCUGGGUAUGCUCGGAUAUGUCGACAAGCAUGCAACCAUGGCUUAAUCCAACUUUGUCAACGCUUUCUUUUUAACUUACGUUCUUGCUCAUUUUGUAAUGAUUCUCUUGCUUGUACUCUUUCUUGUCUUUCUUUCGACUCGCAUGUUUUCUUUACUAUAAUGUUCUCAUUCUUAAUAAUCAUAUUCUUUUAUUAUAUAUUACUGAAUUUGCUUCCUAUUUCCCAGCUACUCAUUCGGCAGUUAAUUCCUAAGACUAAAUACUAUUGUCAUUCCUUGACAGCGGUGCCAAAAUAUAAUUAUC
rnacentral:lncRNA from 1 species